rnacentral:rRNA from 1 species
AUUGAACGCUGGCGGCAGGCUUAACACAUGCAAGUCGAGCGGGGUGAUGGUGCUUGCACUAUCACUUAGCGGCGGACGGGUGAGUAAUGCUUAGGAAUCUGCCUAUUAGUGGGGGACAACAUCUCGAAAGGGAUGCUAAUACCGCAUACGUCCUACGGGAGAAAGCAGGGGAUCUUCGGACCUUGCGCUAAUAGAUGAGCCUAAGUCGGAUUAGCUAGUUGGCGGGGUAAAGGCCUACCAAGGCGACGAUCUGUAGCGGGUCUGAGAGGAUGAUCCGCCACACUGGGACUGAGACACGGCCCAGACUCCUACGGGAGGCAGCAGUGGGGAAUAUUGGACAAUGGGGGGAACCCUGAUCCAGCCAUGCCGCGUGUGUGAAGAAGGCCUUAUGGUUGUAAAGCACUUUAAGCGAGGAGGAGGCUACUUUAGUUAAUACCUAGAGAUAGUGGACGUUACUCGCAGAAUAAGCACCGGCUAACUCUGUGCCAGCCGCCGCGGUAA